AUACGGAGGAUCCGAGCGUUAUCCGGAUUUAUUGGGUUUAAAGGGAGCGUAGGCGGACGCUUAAGUCAGUUGUGAAAGUUUGCGGCUCAACCGUAAAAUUGCAGUUGAUACUGGGUGUCUUGAGUACAGUAGAGGCAGGCGGAAUUCGUGGUGUAGCGGUGAAAUGCUUAGAUAUCACGAAGAACUCCGAUUGCGAAGGCAGCCUGCUGGACUGUAACUGACGCUGAUGCUCGAAAGUGUGGGUAUCAAACAGGAUUAGAUACCCUGGUAGUCCACACAGUAAACGAUGAAUACUCGCUGUUUGCGAUAUACAGUAAGCGGCCAAGCGAAAGCAUUAAGUAUUCCACCUGGGGAGUACGCCGGCAACGGUGAAACUCAAAGGAAUUGACGGGG
rnacentral:rRNA from 1 species